AAGCGGUGGAGCAUGUGGUUUAAUUCGACGCAACGCGCAGAACCUUACCAACCCUUGACAUACUCGUCGUCGGUCCAGAGAUGGAUCUUUCAGUUCGGCUGGACGAGAUACAGGUGCUGCAUGGCUGUCGUCAGCUCGUGUCGUGAGAUGUUCGGGUAAGUCCGGCAACGAGCGCAACCCACGUCCUUAGUUGCCAGCAGGUUAAGCUGGGCACUCUAGGGAAACUGCCGGUGAUAAGCCGGAGGAAGGUGUGGAUGACGUCAAGUCCUCAUGGCCCUUACGGGUUGGGCUACACACGUGCUACAAUGGCAGUGACAAUGGGUUAAUCCCAAAAAGCUGUCUCAGUUCGGAUUGGGGUCUGCAACUCGACCCCAUGAAGUCGGAAUCGCUAGUAAUCGCGUAACAGCAUGACGCGGUGAAUACGUUCCCGGGCCUUGUACACACCGCCCGUCACACCAUGGGAGUUGGAUCUACCCGAAGGCCGUGCGCCAACCUUUCGAGGAGGCAGCGGACCACGGUGGGUUCAGCGACUGGGGUG
rnacentral:rRNA from 1 species